ACCCUUUUAAAAGCACUCAGUGGGCCUUUUGCUGAUGACCCGCUGAGCCGUUUAAAAAAAAAAAAAAAAAAAAAAGAAAGGGCAGAGUGAAAACACCGCUUUUGGGUGAAGCAGCAGCUUAUUGUGUUGUUUUGCUUCAAUUGGUGGUGUGACAAGG